rnacentral:rRNA from 1 species
CGGCGCACAUAAGACAUGCAAGUCGAACGGAAGUCCGUUAUAAAAAGGAUUGAGGAUUUAUCUGAUUGAGAUUUUAUAACAAUGGCUUUAGUGGCGGACUGGUGAGUAACGCGUGAGCAACCUGCCUACUAGAGGGGAAUAACAGUGAGAAAUCAUUGCUAAUACCGCAUAUGCCAUGAACAUCACAUGAUGAAAGUGGGAAAAGAGUAAUCUGCUAGUAGAUGGGCUCGCGUCUGAUUAGCUAGUUGGUGAGGUAAUGGCCCACCAAGGCAACGAUCGGUAGCCGGACUGAGAGGUUGAACGGCCACAUUGGGACUGAGACACGGCCCAGACUCCUACGGGAGGCAGCAGUGGGGAAUAUUGCACAAUGGGGGAAACCCUGAUGCAGCGACGCCGCGUGGAGGAAGAAGGUCUUCGGAUUGUAAACUCCUGUUGUUGAGGAAGAUAAUGACGGUACUCAACAAGGAAGUGACGGCUAACUACGUG